UUCUUGCACUGCGCCGAGUGCAGGUCGUCCUGCACCUCGGAGACGGACGGAGAAGGAGGAGGCGCGCCCGUGUGCCCCCCUACCAAGAAGGAGUACAGAGAUGACCCUUUCCAUCAGGGCCACGCCCCCU